rnacentral:rRNA from 1 species
AAAUAUUAAAGGGCCGCGGUAUUUUAACCGUGCAAAGGUAGCAUAAUCAUUAGGUUUUUAAUUAGAAUCUUGUAUGAAUGGUUAGACAAAAGAAAUACUGUCUUUAUGUUAAAAUUUGAAUUUAACUUUUAAGUGAAAAGGCUUAAAUAUAUUAAAGGGACGAUAAGACCCUAUAAAACGUUAUGUUGGGGAGACAGAAGUAAAAAUUUUAACUGCUUUAUGUUAAAACAUAUAUUUAUGAAAUGAUCCUUUAUAAAGAUUAAAAGAUUAAGUUACUUUAGGGAUAACAGCGUUAUUUUUUUUGAGAGUUCCUAUCGAAAAGAAAGUUUGCGACCUCGAUGUUGAAUUAAAAUAUCUUUAUAGUGCAGAAGCUAUAAAAGAAGGUCUGUUCGACCUUUAAAUUUUU